rnacentral:lncRNA from 1 species
GGGGAGUGUUACCAUGACGUCAGCAUGUCUCCCUGGGGGACCAGUCAAAUUUAGGGUAAUCUAACUGUGGUUUGAUACUGUCCAUUUGUAGGCUGGUUCUGGCCCAACCCAUCGGUUUCUGGAACCAGAACAGUCAGAAUGAGUUCACGUUCUAGAAAUCACCAGAGAGGGUGGCAAAUCCAUACUCAUCGUGGAGAAGAAAUGUCAGUUGGUCGGAGAGAUGUGAAUACCGUAGGUAGCCAGGCAAGGCGCAAGGUUCUUCACAAGGAGGAAGUCAGUAAAAUUCAGGCAGAAGGUGACCGUUUUGACCAAACCAGAAAAGUACUGGACUGGGUCACGGCCAAAGGAGAAGCUGCAUGCUACGAGUUACUGACGAUUCUAGACAUCACAAGGAAGAGGACCUUAGACAACGCUGACUUACAGCAAUGGAUAAGCUGCUUCCCCUUCAAGGAAGACCCAGAGAUGACAGACUACCUUGUUGGUUCAAAACCCUGUCACAGAUAUCAGUCACAGCUGAAAUGUAAAGCUCGAAAGAUCACACAGGAUACAUGGAAACAAAGCUGUAGUCUCCUACCAGAGAGGUGUAGAAAUGAGGUGACUUUCUCUUACACUCCUCUUGUGUUAGAUACAGACGUGCCUUCAUCUCUCUCUAAAAUCAAAAUGAAGAGCAAAAGAUGCAAGAAAGCUCGCCCUAAAAAGCUAAAGAGCUUCAUCCCCAUGGCCAAACAGGAAACGUCCCCGGCUGACCUGCUUAAAACACCCAAGAGAAGGAUCCUCUUAUUUGGAAAACCUGGAAUUGGAAAGACAGCAGUCGCCCAUCAAAUGUUGAAGCUCUGGGCAGAGGAAGAUCAUAGAGAACUAGAUUACAUGUUUUAUUUUGAUGUGAGAGACAUUUCCCCCAGCACAAAUCCCAUGAGACUUGAGGACCUUCUCUUUAACAUGUACAGUGAGCCAGAAGAAAGUAGAGAAGAAGUGUUACAGGAUAUUAAGAAGAACUCUGAAAACGUUGUCAUCAUUUUUGAUGGAAUCACAGACCUCUCCUUUCAUUCAGUAAUAAAGAAACUUGUAGGCAAGGACCUCCUCCCUGAUGCAAAGAUUGUGAUCACAUGCAGACCAGAGGUUCCAUCAGGAGACUUCCUGACAGACUGGCCCUCGUUCCGAGUGGAGGUGAAAGGGUUUAGUAAUGAGUCCAUCCGGGCUUACUUAACAAAGAUGCUAAGUGCUGAGCCUAACCCUACGCCAAACCAUGACUCCUUGAGCAGUGUGUUAAGCAACCUAGAGUUGUUCAGUCUGUGCCAUGUCCCGAUGUAUGCAUUGAUGGUGGUUGCCUGCGUUUAUUAUUCUACCCCAGAGGCUUCUAAGCAGCCAUGCCCUACAACUAAGAUGUACGUCAACAUCCUCCGUUACUGCAUCCUAAAACACAGUGGCAAACAGAUGAAUGAUCUUGACAAGUGUCUCAUAGAAAACAGAGAAAAAAUCUUGUCUUUAGCAAAAAUUGCAAUGAAACAAUGAACUUGACAGAACUGAGCUGCGAAGUAAGCAGUGUCCAGUUUUCUUUCUUGGGGGCGCUUAUGAUUAUGGUCGAGCCCACAGUAUCGGACACUUACUCUGCAUUUCUCCAUUACACAAUGCAGGAGUUCGUUGGUGCCCUUUGGCUCUUACAGAAUCCAGACAAAAUCAGAGAGUUUCUACAGAAGUGCCAGACUGAAGAAUGGAAACACACAAAACACAUGGUUCCUUUCAUGUGUGGGCUUCUGAAUGAGAGGAAUAUUCGAUUGGUAAAUGGUCUUGUUCCAGCUCAACAGAUCAAGGAGACGUCAGAUUGGUUCUUCAAGGAAGUGGUGAACACAUUUCUUCCACUUCAAACAAACCAAGAUCAUGCAGAAGGUGGUGCUCCUGAGUUUGAGGUAGAUCUUCUGUUUUUAUGUCAGUGCUUGUAUGAAUCUCAGUCUACUGAGGCCUGUUUGCUUCUUCUGGACAAACUGGACUACAAUCUACACCUGGAUGAAGAACAUCUUGAUCCUCACCAGUGCUGUGCAGUCUCCUAUAUGAUCAGUCAGUCUGCAGAGAGAAAGGUUGACUUGGACCUGAACAGCUGCACUGUGUCAGACCAAGGACUAAGGCUGAUACUGGGCUCUCUGAAGAAUGUCCGAUAUCUCAGAUCUGACCCCUCAAUGCUGUGUCAACUCUGGACAACUUUGCUGAGCGGUGAGGCAGACAUUGACUUCACCAGCUUGCUUGGUCUCUGUGGAAAUGAGUUGCGCCUUCCAUUCCUGGGUGAAAGACGAGUGUUUGAGAGAGCAGAAGAAGUGAUGAAGCAGAGCCUGGAGAGGGUUAACCUCUGUCUACACUGGGAUCGGACAACUCUUCUCAGUGAAGCUCUCAGCAAGACCAUUUUAAAGUGUUUAACACAUAUCAACAAACUCAGUUUUAACCCACUACAUAAUCAGAGAGGAUCCCCUGAAAAACUAGAGAAAGAACAGAAAGCAGUCCUACUAAAUUUGUGUCUACAAGCCGCACUUUAUCACAGAGAAACGUUCCAGGGAGCUGUGAACACACUGCUGUCACUCUUCUCUGUGUAUCAAACUGAGAGAUAUGACAUCCUGCUGGAUCUGUACUCACAUGUGAAGGACUAUGAGACUCAAACAGGCAGGAGUGUCCUUCCAUCAUUGAGGCCACUUUAUCAGUCAGCUCCUGCAGUCUGGUCCAUAGACCUCUCAGAGAGAAAAGCCUCCCUCCUCCUAGAAGUGCUGAAACUCGAACCAGAUAAAAAAUCUGUCGAGCUGAAAGGCUGGUCAGACAAAGAGAGUGAAGUGAGGAGUUUCCUUCAGUGUCUGCCCUACAUCUCACAGCUGAGUUUUACUUCACCACAGGAUCAGAGAAGAUCCCCUGAAGAGUGGAGAAAGAGAGAGAAGACAUUCCUACUGAAUCUGUGUCUUCAAGCAGCCCUCCAUGCGAGAGAACACAUACAAACAACUGUAGAGAAAGUGUUUUCAUUGUCUGAAGUUUAUCAUGAUCGGAAAUGGGAUUUCCUGCUGGAUCUGUACUCACAUGUGAAGGACUAUGAGACUGAAACAGGCAGGAGUGUCCUUCCAGCAUUACAGCCAGUUUACCAGUCAGCUCCUGCAGUCUGGUCCAUAGACCUCUCAGAGAGAAAGGCCUCCCUCCUCCUAGAAGUGCUGAAACUCCAACCAGAGAAGAAACCAGUAGAGCUGGAAGGCUUGUCAGAUGAAGAGAGUGAAGUGAGGAGUUUCCUUCAGUGUCUGCCCUACAUCUCACAGCUGAGUUUCUAUCCAUGGUGGUCUGACAACUCAAAGCUGAUCAAGUUCCUGGUGGGUCUCCUGUCUCAAGCAGCAGAGUGGGAGGAGCAGUCAGGAGAGAAGACACUGAAGCUGCUAUCAUCAGUGUUUACUUACAGCACUUUCCCUCUCUAUGACUGGGAUGAUUAUCAUAAGUGGUUUCAAUGUGAUUUCCUGCUGGAUCUGUGCUCACAUGUGAAGGACUAUGAGACUCAAACAGGCAGAAGUGUCCUUCCAGUAUUACAGCCAGUUUACCAGUCAGCUCCUGCGGUCUGGUACAUAGACCUCUCAGAGAGAAAGGCCUCCCUCCUCCUAGACGUGCUGAAACUCCAACCAGAGAAGAAACCAGUAGAGCUGAUGAAGUGGUCAGAUGAAGAGAGUGAAGUGAGGAGUUUCCUUCAGUGUCUGCCCUACAUCUCACAGCUGAGUUUUACUUCACCACAGGAUCAGAGUAGAUCCCAUGAAGAGUGGAGAAAGAGAGAGAAGACAUUCCUACUGAAUCUGUGUCUUCAAGCAGCCCUCCAUGCGAGAGAACACAUACAAACAACUGUAGAGAAAGUGUUUUCAUUGUCUGAAGUUUAUCAUGAUCGGAAAUGGGAUCUCCUGCUGGAUCUGUACUCACAUGUGAAGGACUAUGAGACUCAAACAGGCAGGAAUGUCCUUCCAGCAUUACAGCCAGUUUACCAGUCAGCUCCUGCAGUCUGGUCCAUAGACCUCUCAGAGAGAAAGGCCUCCCUCCUCCUAGAAGUGCUGAAACUCCAACCAGAGAAGAAACCAGUAGAGCUGGAAGGCUUGUCAGAUGAAGAGAGUGAAGUGAGGAGUUUCCUUCAGUGUCUGCCCUACAUCUCACAGCUGAGUUUUACUUCACCACAGGAUCAGAGUAGAUCCCAUGAAGAGUGGAGAAAGAGAGAGAAGACAUUCCUACUGAAUCUGUGUCUUCAAGCAGCCCUCCAUGAGAGAGGAACCAUACAAACAACUGUAGAGAAAGUGUUGUCACUGUCUGAAGUUUAUCACGAUCGGAAAUGGGAUCUCCUGCUGGAUCUGUACUCACAUGUGAAGGACUAUGAGACUGAAACAGGCAGGAGUGUCCUUCCAGCAUUACAGCCAGUUUACCAGUCAGCUCCUGCAGUCUGGUCCAUAGACCUCUCAGAGAGAAAGGCCUCCCUCCUCCUGGAAGUGCUGAAACUCCAACCAGAGAAGAAACCAGUAGAGCUGGAAGGCUUGUCAGAUGAAGAGAGUGAAGUGAGGAGUUUCCUUCAGUGUCUGCCUUACAUCUCACAGCUGAGGCUGAAUGUGGGCAUGGCAGUGAGACUGGCCAGACUGGCUAGGAGGACAGGGAGAGGGGGUACUCCACUGACUGUCCCAGAACUCUCCCUGGUCCUAAAGAGCAGCCAGCCACCAGAGAGAGUGUUAUCCAGAGCUCUGAGUAGUGUGGCGUCCCUGCUGAGAUUCUGGAGGGUUCAGUGUCUGGACCUGACUGACUUCUGCAUCCAGGGUCACUCUCUCAUCACACUGCUGUGUCACCAGGACCCUCACACUCUCAGACUGAACUCAGACACUCUGCAGCAGCUGGCUGUGGCUGUGUAUGAAGCUCAGGACAAGGACUUGACUCAGUGGUUCCUGGAGAAGGUUGGUGGAGACCUGACCUCCUGCAGGCUGGACUGGGACGUGCUUCUCUCUCUGCUGCAGCAUUCAACCCACAACAUCACAGUGGACCUCAGGAAGAACAGGCUUCUAGAGAAGAACAUCUCAGAUCUUCUCCCCUUUCUGGGAAGGGUUAUAUUCAAGAGGCUCAGUUCCAGCUUUGUGAAGUCCACCAUCAGACAGAUCUAUGACAGUAGAGACAGUGACUGUGUGUCCAGUUUGUUGAGGUCUUCAGACCAUUGGAUCAACCUGAACAGCAGAGAGCUGGACAGAGUGGACUGUACUGCUCUGUGUUUCACCCUGCAGCACAGCCACCAAGUCAAAGUCAACCUGCUGUGGACCUCCAUACCACCGGGGGAGAUAGAGAGCAUCCUGCCUCUUCUGGACAGAGUCUCCCAACUCAGUGUUGACAGGAAGCUGUUGCUGAGUUUCCUCCACUCCUGCGCUGCCUCUCAGAUCCUACAGGGGGCACUAUCACCACCACCAACAAUAACAACAACAGCAGCAGAGCUGCUCAGGGCUCUGCAGCACAGGUUGGACUUCUCCUGCUCCUCCUCUGUGGACCUGUCAGCUCACGACCAGGGGGAGGCGCUGUGUCUGACCACUGACCACUGUAGGGCCAUAAACUCUGUUCUGAAGCAGAGCCAACACAGCACACGGCUGGUUCAGAACCCGACCCGGAACCAGUCCCGAAACCAGCCCCAGGUGCAACUCAUCCUUAAAGACUGUGAGGUGGAGCAUGGAGCACUGAGAGAGCUGCUUCCCAUCUUGCAUAUUGUCAAGCUGAGCCCCAGCAAAGCUCUGCUACUUCAGCUGCUGGACCAUGUGUGUGAGGGGAUUGAAGAGGGGGUUCUGAAGCACGCAGAGUCCCUGUGCAGAGCCCUGGAUGGGGAGCUGGACCUCAGUAAGACCAGGCUGAACCAGAAGGCCUGUGGAUCUCUGGCCCUGGUUCUGGAACACUCAGAGGGGCUGUCAGAACUGUACCUCAACCACUGCCAACUCACAGACCACCACCUACAGCCCCUGCUCACACACCUGCACAAAGUUGAAGUCCUGGACCUGAGUCACAAUGACAUCACUGAUGCUCUGACCGACAGAAUACUCCAAUUGGUCUCUACCAACACUUCAAUACGCACCGUACGGCUCUUCAACAACAGAAUCAACGACAGAAGUCCGUUCCUGACAGACAAGAGGUUUGAGAUCUGGUGAAGCAGCAUCAGGUCCAAGUCCAGACAGAGGAAGAGAAGAUGGAUGUUGAAGAAGAGAAGAUGGAUGUUGAAGAAGAGAAGAUGGAUGUUGAAGAUGGGUGUAGUAGCUACGAAGCCUCGGCAGGGUGAGACUAGAGGGACUUUUCUGACCAGCAUCCCAUCAACCUUGACCCUAACUGUAACCUGAUUUUAACCAAUUCUUAAAUAUUGAUUUGCAUGUCAGCCACAUCCCCUUAGUUUUUAGCUGACCUCAUCAUGGUGUCAGACGAACGGCAAGUGAUUAUGGGGCUAAGGUAUUGUAAAAAUAGUUGAGACUCCAGAACUCUGGAAUGUUCUGAGUGUAAUGGAUAGGAAUGUGUAGUUCUAUUUACCUCUUACAUGGUUCUUAAACACACAGGAACAUGUGUAGUAUAACGUUUUUUGAGCUUUACUUAACUUGAUGAUUUUUGUGAUCAGUCAAUUUGUGAAAUUCCAUCAGAAGGAAUAGAUUGUAUAUGCAUUUCUAUAGUCUAGUAUUUAUCAGGUGGAUGGGAAUGUGUUCUACAGUUGCAAUGGGAGCCUUAAUACAUGAGUGUUUUGUUGCAGGUCAACUGCAUGGUAUUGUGUUACUCAGGCUAGCCUUGUUGUGGACCAAGCUUCCCUAUUCAGGAAGCCAGAGGUGUGUUGAGUUCGCUUGAACGUUUGCUACGUUGUGCAACGGUUUGUACUGAAUGACACGUUUCCCCAAAAUGUUUUUGAACAGACUUCGAGGUACAUUUGGUGGGUGUGGCGAGGUGUGGCUUGAAGCAAUGAGUGACAUAUUUUUAUUUUUAAAGGGCAGUGGCCAUGCUGACAGCAUUCUCCAACCCACAACCCAACCCUUCCCCAUUUUUCAACUGGUUGUUCAGUACAUCACCGUUUCCGUACAAUUGAACCGUUUCAGAAUGUAAAAACAUACUGAUCGCAGCCCUGGUGAAGUCCAUGGUAGAAAGUAACUACAAGUGUGGUGGAAACCAUUGAAGCCUCGCAACACGUCAAACCAAUCAAUUGCCUUGCUUUGGCCGAGCACUAAAGGUGCCCACUAGUGCCGUAGGAGCAACAGUGUGAGUGGAUGCCCAGGAAGUUGCUGAUGUAUAACAUAGCCUUUAUGUACACAUACCAUAACAAAAUGUAUUUAGUAGAGCAGUUGUAAUACCUUCAUCGACUUGUGAAGAACAUUACACGCAGCUUCCCUUUUAGGGGCAUGUGGGGGAGGUUUCUUGAAAUAUAACAUCCAAUCAAAAUGUAGCCGCUGGAACCUAGCAGACCAUUCUAACUGUUUUGGCUAAUACAAAAUUCUCCAGACCUCCAAAGGAGGCAUGACAACAAUGUGAUUUUGGAGGUAUGGCUACAUGAGACUAGUACAAGCCUUUCUCAUAUCAAAACAGACAAACUAUAAGAAAUAAUAUAUGAAUAUUUUGUGUUUUUAAUAAAUGUACCUUGAGGC